rnacentral:lncRNA from 1 species
CCGUAUUUUUUCACCGUCCUCACCCCCAUCUUCUCACAAGAACGGAGCAGCCAUAAACCACCACCAAACUUGCUAGAAAAACUCCAACAGCCAUUGCUCCCUCCCCACCAUAACUGGCCGAAAUUCGGUGACUAUACACACACAUACAACAAAACAGACAUGGGAAAAACAAAGGGUAAAGACCAGAUAACGGGAGCAAAAAACCACACAGAUAUAGACAGGAAAACAAAGAGAGCUAAAGAAUCGUUGAUCACUUUCUUCUUCUUCCCCCAGCUGUUAACCCUCCAUUAGAAUGACGAAAAUAAAACAAGGGAUUCGGGUUCUGUUUGGCUUUUGAUUCUGAUUGUCACUUUUCUGAUUUCAUCUUAGUUCAUUGAUAUUAGGGAGAAGAUUUCAGUUGAUUUUUGCUUCAGUUUUGAUUUCAAAUUCGAAAAAUGCAAUGAAAAUUCUAGAUAUUCUUUUGGUAUUGGCUUUUGAAACGGGAAUGGGACAAUAUCGAACCAGUGGAGUUUUGUGACCACGAGAGGAGCUCGAAUGUGGUUUCAAGCUUUGCUUGGCUUUUCAAUUAUUGUCAUUCAUUAUCUUUUGAAAUUGUGACUGAGAUACUACCAAGAUCGAGGUAUUGGUUCGGGGUUGUCAAGGUGAGAUACGUUCGAAGCUCUAGUUUUGGUUCAAGGUUCAGGUCUUUAGUUUGUGAUUGAAUUGCUGUGUCAGGAAUCCUCAUUUGUUAUACACGUUAAGAGAUAAGCAGCAUUAUAGGUCCAUCUCGUCAUUCUCUUAUUACCUCUUCAAUUUUGAGACAUAAAAUAUGAUAUUGAGUUUUGGUUUAGAUUGCAUAACAUGAAAUCUCUACUAUUGCUGUUGUUGUUGCAUUUUCAAUUGGAAUCCAUUAGUUUUAUUUUGGUUGUGGUGGUGAAUGAAAGCUUUGUUUCAUGUGUCAUUCUUAUGUGAUUGACUCCACAAAGAAUUGAAUUUCAUUGUCGUUUACUUUAUGCUCAUCUCUAUCGUUGUUUAUGCUUUGUUCAGGCUACUUUCGUUUAUGUCCUUAGUGAAAUCUGGUUGAUUAAACACUUAGGAAAUGUUGGUAUAACCUUAGCCAUGUGUUAAUGGAGGGUUCCGGUUUGACAAUUUGGUAUUUUGCUGAUUUUGAACAAGUGA